rnacentral:rRNA from 1 species
UACGUAGGUGGCAAGCGUUGUCCGGAUUUAUUGGGUUUAAAGGGUGCGUAGGCGGUCUUCUAAGUCAGUUGUGAAAUACUUCAGCUUAACUGGAGAGGUGCAAUUGAUACUGGAAGACUUGAGUACUGAUGAGGUAGGCGGAAUGGACGGUGUAACGGUGAAAUGCUUAGAUAUCGUCCAGAACACCGAUAGCGAAGGCAGCUUACUAAGGAGUAACUGACGCUGAGGCACGAAAGUGUGGGGAUCAAACAGG